AGUGAACGCUGGCGGUAGGCCUAAUACAUGCAAGUCGAACGGCAGCACAGUAAGAGUUUGCUCUUACGGUUGGCGAGUGGCGGACGGGUGAGGCAUACAUCGGAAUCUACUUUUUCGUGGGGGACUACGUAGGGCCACUUACGCUAAUACCGCAUACGUCCUACGGGUGGAUGCAGGGGAUCUUCGGAUCUUGCGCGAUUGUAUGAGCCGAUGUCGGAUUAGCUAGUUGGCAGGGUAAGGGCCCACCAAGGCGACGAUCCGUAGCUGGUCUGAGAGGAUGAUCAGCCACACUGGAACUGAGACACGGUCCAGACUCCUACGGGAGGCAGCAGUGGGGAAUAUUGGGCAAUGGGCGAAAGCCUGACGCAGCCAUACCGCGUGAGUGAAGAAGGCCUUCGGGUUGUAAAGCCCUUUUAUUGGGGAAGAAAAGCAGCAGAUGAAUACCCCGCUGUUCUGACGGUACCCAAAGAAUAAGCACCGGCUAACUUCGUG
rnacentral:rRNA from 1 species